CAGUGUUAUAAACUCAAGCCACAUUAAUCCUUGCUUUGUCUUUUGCCUUUGAGUAACUUUGUAUGUGCUCCUUCGCAGGCUGCAUACCUGAACCUGACUUCGUUUUCAGCAUUGUUUGCUCUCCUGGAUUUUUGACUCUGGAGAUUGAUCUCCAAACCUUGUGGAUAAAAGCCUGGGCAUCCUGCUGUCAAAAUAAGGCUGCAUACCUGAACCUGACUUCGUUUUCAGCAUUGUUUGCUCUCCUGGAUUUUUGACUCUGGAGAUUGAUCUCCAAACCUUGUGGAUAAAAGCCUGGGCAUCCUGCCCACUUUGUCUUCUCACAUCUGGCUGGCAGCUUUCCUGUCUGGAUCAACCACAGACCUCUUCAAGCGAACCCUGUCCACCCUCCAUCCCAAUAAGACCAACACCAGUACCUCAGAGCCCUACAAUGUGUGUCAAUUACCUACCAGCUCCGGUCUCCUCUGUGCGCAACUUUGUUGUUGUUUUUCCCUCCUCCUGGCAGAUCACCCAUCAUCCCUAUUUGUUUCCCAGUUCCAGCUCCUUCCGUAUCUCCACGCUUCCUGUAAAUAAAUUAUUUGUUAAACUUGA